rnacentral:rRNA from 1 species
UACGGAGGUUGCAAGCGUUACUCGGAAUCACAGGGCGUAAAGGGCGCGUAGGCGGCCUAGCAAGUCUGGUGUGAAAGCCCAGGGCUCAACCCUGGAAGGGCACUGGAAACUGUUAGGCUUGAGUUCCGGAGAGGAGGGGGGAAUUCCCGGUGUAGCGGUGAAAUGCGUAGAUAUCGGGAGGAAUACCGGUGGCGAAGGCGCCCCUCUGGACGGAAACUGACGCUGAGGCGCGAAAGCGUGGGGAGCAAACCGG